UUCCUAUGAUGCUCAGCCACUGUGCAGAAGACUACAGCAGCUCACCUCCAGCCUAGUGUCAGUGCUACUUCUGCCGGCAGCUUCCUGUUUUAGGUGCUGACAGCACUCUGGCAACCAUGUGAACAUUCCUAAAACACACAAGUGACACAGUACAAGAAAGGCAAAGAUUCUCUUUGUGCCCAGGGAAAGCAGCGUUAUGACGGGAAGCAGAGUGGCUAUGUUGUUGUGGGAACAAUGGACCUUACUGCUGAAGGCUGAAGACACAGAAGCCCCAUUAUGCCAAGAUGAAAAUGUAAUCAGAGUGAAGGUUCAAUCACAGCUUUUCAUGGUGAAAUCUAUACCAGCGCACUAGAGAAUGGCCACUAUCCAAAAAGGCAGCCAGUAGAUAGAAUGAAAGAGUGCAAAACCUUUGGUCUAGGAUUUACUAAUGUUAAAAAGAAAAAUAGA